CGUGUAGGUGGCUAAUUAAGUCAGGUGUGAAAUCCUUCCGCUUAACGGAAGAAGUGCAUUUGAAACUGCUUAGCUAGAGUACGGGAGAGGAAGGUGGAAUUCCUGGUGUAGAGGUGAAAUUCAUAGAUAUCGGGAAGAACACCGGUGGCGAAGGCGGCCUUCUGGCCCGAUACUGACGCUGAGACGCGAAAGCGUGGGGAGCAAACA
rnacentral:rRNA from 1 species